rnacentral:rRNA from 1 species
CGCUGGCGGCGUGCCUAACACAUGCAAGUCGAGCGAGGAGAUCCCUUCGGGGAUGAACCUAGCGGCGGACGGGUGAGUAACACGUGGGCAACCUGCCUUAUAGAGGGAAUAGCUUCCGAAAGGAAGAUUAAUACCGCAUAACAUUACAUUUUCGCAUGAAGAAGUAAUUAAAGGAGUAAUCCGCUAUAAGAUGGGCCCGCGGCGCAUUAGCUAGUUGGUGAGGUAACGGCUCACCAAGGCGACGAUGCGUAGCCGACCUGAGAGGGUGAUCGGCCACAUUGGGACUGAGACACGGCCCAGACUCCUACGGGAGGCAGCAGUGGGGAAUAUUGCACAAUGGGGGAAACCCUGAUGCCAGCAACGCCGCGUGAGUGAUGAAGGUCUUCGGAUCGUAAAGCUCUGUCUUCAGGGACGAUAAUGACGGUACCUGAGGAGGAAGCCACGGCUAACUACGUGCCAGCCGCCGC